rnacentral:rRNA from 1 species
AGAGUUUGAUUCUGGCUCAGGAUGAACGCUAGCUACAGGCUUAACACAUGCAAGUCGAGGGGCAUCAUUGGGAUAGCUUGCUAUUCAGAUGGCGACCGGCGCACGGGUGAGUAACGCGUAUCCAACCUUCCCCUUAGUAGGGCAUAGCCCGGCGAAAGUCGGAUUAAUACCCUAUGUUGUAUAUUGAGGACAUCUGAUUUAUACCAAAGAUUCAUCGCUAAGGGAUGGGGAUGCGUCCGAUUAGGUAGUCGGCGGGGCAACGGCCCACCGAGCCGUCGAUCGGUAGGGGUUCUGAGAGGAAGGUCCCCCACACUGGUACUGAGACACGGACCAGACUCCUACGGGAGGCAGCAGUGAGGAAUAUUGGUCAAUGGGCGAGAGCCUGAACCAGCCAAAAGUAGCGUGCAGGAUGACGGCCCUAUGGGUUGUAAACUGCUUUUAUACGGGGAUAAAGUGAGGGACGUGUCCCUUUUUGUAGGUACCGUAUGAAUAAGGACCGGCUAAUUCCGUGCCAGCCGCUGC